GAUUCUGGCUCAGGAUUAACGCUGGCGGCGUGCCUAACACGUGCAAGUCGAACGAAAUAUCUUCGGAUAUUAGUGGCGAACGGGUGGGUAAUGUACAGGUAAUGUACCUUCGUACUGCGAAUAACAAGCUGAAAAGUUUGCUAAUACGGAAUAGUUUCAUUAGGGGGCAUCCUUUGAUGAAUAAAGAUUUAUCGUGCGGAGAUCAGCCUGUAUCCUAUUAGUUAGUUGGUGGGGUAAUGGCCUACCAAGACGACGAUGGGUAACUGGUCUGAGAGGAUGAGCAGUCACAUUGGAACUGAGAUACGGUCCAAACUCCUACGGGAGGCAGCAGUGAGGAAUUUUGCGCAAUGGGGGAAACCCUGACGCAGCCAACGCCGCGUGAGUGAAGACGGCCUUCGGGUUGUAAAGCUCUGUCGUGUGUGACGAGUAGGGACGGUAACACACAAGGAAGCCUCGGCUAACUACGUGCCAGCAGCAGC
rnacentral:rRNA from 1 species